GGGCCGCUAGCUCAGCAGGUAGAGCAUCGCCCUUUUAAGGCGGUGGUCACACGUUCGAAUCGUGUGCGGCUCA
rnacentral:tRNA from 1 species